ACAUGAGGAGGCCAGAUACAUGACCGGAGCUGGCUGUGAGAAGAGAUGCAAAGGUGUUCUGGGCAGGAGGAACAGCAGGUGCAAAGGUGCACACCACCUGAAGGGGUAUUAGAACAGAUAGCUGGGCCUCACUCCCAGAGUUUUUGAGGCUUCCUGAGGCUUAAGAAUUUGCAGCUCUAACAAUUCCCAGGUGAUGUUGGUGCUGCCGGCUGCAGAACCACAGCUUGAGAAACACUGGCCUCAGCGUCUGCAAAGUCCAAACCUAACAAAUUUGUAUUUUAUCCUUCAGGCCAGAGCUCCUCAAACAGGAGAGUCAUUUGGGAGCUUGUUAAGCAAGCAAUUAACAGGCCACCCCCAGAGAUGCUGAUGCUUCGGGCUGGGCGGAACCUGACAAUGUGUCUGGACUGGGAGGGCCCUGGAGGGCUGGGAGUAGGGGCACUGGGCAGGCAUCUUGGUAAUGCAGGAGGGAGAUGGUGGGGGCCUCACCAAUCGAGGCAAGGGCCUAGUGGUGGGAAAGGCAGGAUGGAUUUGAGAAGCAACUGAACAGGUCUGAAGAUGGCUUGAGGGCACUGACAACUGAAGGGUGUGUAGGAACACAGCCACCCCCUGGAGACUCUAGCCUUGGAGGUCCUGGACCAGACCUCAGGGUCCCCAGCCAACGAGCACUGUCAGCUCUGGCAGCUCAUAGCCCCUUUGUCAGGCAGAAAGGCCCCCUCCAGGUGGCCAAUUUCAGGUUUCAAGUGUCAGCUAGAUUUUCUGCUCACUGUCCCCCAUAACCUGCUAGAAAGUUCACUGCCAAAUUGAUUUCCAAAUUUCGUGAAACAAAUGUAUUCCCAGGUGAAAACUACUGUAUCCGAUUUCUUCUGCAGAUGACCCAGCCAACAUGGAAAUCUGCUUUGUCUGACUUUUGAAUUCACCAGAGUCAACUUCCAUUGCUCAGACAACUAGACGGAGCCCCAGUUCCCACUGCGACCCAGCCAGAUGAAGAGAGUGGGGCCCUGAGUCCGUCAGCCAGCCCUAGACUCUCCACAAGCCAGGCCCCAGGCUCCGCCUGCCAGCCAGGAGGCAGACAGUCCACAGACCCCAAAAAGCACCCAUGCCUACCCACCCCUACCAGGAAUGGCAGCUGUUUCUCUGCCAGAAGUAGGGCCAGGAGAAGCCCAAAAAGGCCCCGCACCCACCAGGCCCUUGUGGACCCUCAGUCAUACCUGUCCCCUCGAGAUUCUCUCUGGGCCAUUGCAGUCCACCUACAUUUGGAUGCAGGAUGAAAGGCUCACACGUGGCCGGGUGCAGUGGCUCACUCCUGUAAUCCCAGCACAUUAGGAGGCCAAGGCAGGCGGAUCAUGAAGUCAGGAGUUCGAGACCAGCCUGGCUAACAUGGAGAACUCCCAUCUCUACUAAAAAUACAAAAAUUAGCUGGGUGUGCUGGCGGGAGCCUGUAGUCCCAGCUACUAGGGAGGCCGAGGCAGAACUACUUGAACCUGGGAGGCGGAGGUUGCGGUGAGCCGAGACCGCGCCAUUGCACUCCAGCCUGAGUGACAGAGCAAGAUUCUGUCUCAAAAAAAAAAAAAAA
ensembl:lncRNA